rnacentral:misc_RNA from 1 species
UAGCUUCUCCCACCGUUACUUGCUAA